UUUCCUGCCCCAAAACACAUCAAUACACUGACAAGGUGGCAAAGAGAUCCCAAGCUGAUAGUUCACCUCCAAGUGAUGUUGGGCUUUGCUGUCAGAAUCAUCCUCAUUUACACCAUUGCCACUUGUGUUUGUUGUUGGUCAUGAAAGAACCCAGCAGGUGGUCAAGAGUGCAUUGUCUGGCUCUAGUCUGGGUUCUUUGUAAAUGCAGUUAACUGGCCGAUUAAUUGUGAUUCUCACACUUCCUCUCUCACCUUCUAAGCAUGCAAACAUUAGGAGGCUCAACCUCAGAUCUAUCUUUCUAUAUUUCUGGUGGUUCCUGAGUACUUACCUUAAAGCCAGUCAGCCUGAGUUUAUGCUACUUCUGUCCGACACAGGCCACGCUGUUCAAACUCUCUCUAUGCCUUUUUCCUCACCUUAAAAAUAGGGGUCAUAAUUAUAAUACCUACCUCAUGGACUUCUAGAGAGGAGUAAAUGAGUUAACACUGGUGAAGUGCUUAAGUGUUAGGUGCCAUAGUUUUUAAGCCCUUUGGCAUGCACAGAUUCUCAGAUUCAACCUUGCAGUUGCAAAGCAUAGAACAUGUAGCUGAAAGGGAUUGACUGUGUGGCCAGCUUUUCGUUUUUAUAAAGGAGACAACUGAAAUCCAGAGAAGAGAUAGGUCUUUUCCCAGCGUCACAUGGCUGUUAGAGACAGAGCGAGAAGCAGCAUCAGAGCUCCCUGCCACCUGAAGCAACUUUCUCGAGGUCCCUGGCUACCGGGCAGUGAGAGGAUCAGAUUUUCACAGAACCAGGAGGUUGCAUCUGAAGGCGUGGUAUGAAAAUGAAUAACCUGAGAAAGCACAGCAGGAUGUGAGUAAAUUAAAGCAUUGGGGUUUUUCCCUUGGGUUUUUAGGCAAAGAGGACCUACCUUCUAUAAAAACUUAAAUGAAAAAAGUACUAACAUGAGUGAACGUAGGGGCAAGUCCAAAGCCGAGAUGCCAUUUUUGCUCUAAGUAAAUUCACUGAGGGAAUUUCCCCC